rnacentral:sRNA from 1 species
GCUAAUUAAGCUACCGGGCC